rnacentral:rRNA from 1 species
CAGUCGAACGAUGAACCGGUUUCGGCCGGGGAUUAGUGGCGAACGGGUGAGUAACACGUGGGCAAUCUGCCCUUCACUCUGGGACAAGCCCUGGAAACGGGGUCUAAUACCGGAUAUGACGCACGACCGCAUGGUCUGUGUGUGGAAAGCUCCGGCGGUGAAGGAUGAGCCCGCGGCCUAUCAGCUUGUUGGUGGGGUGAUGGCCUACCAAGGCGACGACGGGUAGCCGGCCUGAGAGGGCGACCGGCCACACUGGGACUGAGACACGGCCCAGACUCCUACGGGAGGCAGCAGUGGGGAAUAUUGCACAAUGGGCGAAAGCCUGAUGCAGCGACGCCGCGUGAGGGAUGACGGCCUUCGGGUUGUAAACCUCUUUCAGCAGGGAAGAAGCGAGAGUGACGGUACCUGCAGAAGAAGCGCCGGCUAACUACGUGCCAGCAGCCGCGGUAAUACGUAGGGCGCAAGCGUUGUCCGGAAUUAUUGGGCGUAAAGAGCUCGUAGGCGGCUUGUCGCGUCGGAUGUGAAAGCCCGGGGCUUAACCCCGGGUCUGCAUUCGAUACGGGCAGGCUAGAGUUCGGUAGGGGAGAUCGGAAUUCCUGGUGUAGCGGUGAAAUGCGCAGAUAUCAGGAGGAACACCGGUGGCGAAGGCGGAUCUCUGGGCCGAUACUGACGCUGAGGAGCGAAAGCGUGGGGAGCGAACAGGAUUAGAUACCCUGGUAGUCCACGCCGUAACGUUGGGAACUAGG